AGCCGUGUGGUGAGCACAAAGCGAACUAUUCUUUCGCCUUUUACUAAAGAAUACCGUGUGCUCUCCACUUCAAACGGCAUACACCUAUUUUUGGAGGAGUAACUUCUUCUGAAGUUU
rnacentral:snRNA from 3 species